AGGUCUCCCAGCCGUGCUUCCUGUACAGCUUGUGGAAGUGGUACCUAUGAUGGCGGGCCUGCAUGAGAUGCUGGAAGACGUGUAGAACUGAGUGAAAUUUUCUUUGUCCUCAGAGAGGUGAUGGCUCUAUUAAAGUGUCCAGAGAGAACUCAUCUCACACCAAGGGCAUAGGAGCAGCCACACUUAAGAUCAACUGUCCUUAACCACAGCAUCAUGAUACGCUGGAUUACCCAAUCGCUUGUAAGGAAAGACAGAGAUGAAGUUAUCCUGACUGCUGAGAUGAGCAGUUUACCCUAGGAGGACCUGUGGGACUAUGUUUUGGUAAAGAAAAGUUGAGCUGCUCUGUGGGAGUGAGGUUCCAAUGAAGCCAAAUGUACAAGGUGUGUGUUCUAUGGCCUAAAGACCCGUAGAUGGUAUCACAAUGGCAUGAGAAAGGUUCAAAGAUACAUGUUAUUUGGGGGAGCCUGGGGAAUGUGGUGACUGCUAAAGGGUGUGGGGUUUCUUUCUGGGGUGAUAAAAGUGUUGUAAAAUUGGUCGUGGUGAUAGUUACACAGCUCUGUGGAUAAAAAGCAUUGAACUAUACACUUUAAAUGGGAGGACUGUAUGGUAUGCAAAUUAUAUCUUAAUAAAGAAGUUAUCAAAAAAUACAAGUUACUGGCCAUCGGAGUUGGAAGAGGAGAGAAUGGAUCGGCCCAAAUCAACUGCACCAGCUGAAACACAAUUUUAUGUAUUUAUUUAUUUAUUGAGACAGAGUCUUGCUCUGUUGCCCAGGCUGGAGUGC
rnacentral:lncRNA from 1 species